rnacentral:rRNA from 1 species
UACGUAGGGUGCAAGCGUUGUCCGGAAUUAUUGGGCGUAAAGAGCUCGUAGGCGGUCUGUCGCGUCUGCUGUGAAAACUCGGGGCUUAACCCCGGGCCUGCAGUGGGUACGGGCAGACUAGAGUGCGGUAGGGGAGACUGGAAUUCCUGGUGUAGCGGUGAAAUGCGCAGAUAUCAGGAGGGAACACCGGUGGGCGAAGGCGGGUCUCUGGGCCGUAACUGACGCUGGAGGAGCGAAAGCGUGGGGGAGC